rnacentral:rRNA from 1 species
AUGUGUGACAAAUGUGAACGCUGGAAGCAUCAAAUUUGUGCCCUUUUUAAUUUCAAAAGGGGUGAUUCUAAAGAAGCAAAAUGUACUUGCCCUAAAGUGUUGUUCUUGGGGCUAAAGAUCUGCCAAGGGCCGUGCUUAGCAAUCAUAUACAAGAACAACUCUUUAAACCGUUCAGGGAAGAGAGACACUAACAGGCCAUUCAUGAUGGGGAAAGCUUUGAUGAGGUUAGUGUUGCCUCAUCAAAUUCACAGAAUCUUACUUCUUUCCUGA